AAUAAAUACACUCCUGAUGAUUUUAAUGAUAAUCUAUAUACAGUGCUAAGAUGGUCUGGCUGUCGCAAUGAGAAGAUUGUAUUCAUAAUGGAUAAGUCUAAUGUCCUCAAUUUAGGAUUCUUGGAAAGAAUGAACAGACUACUAGCCAAUGGAGAGGUUCCUGGAUUAUUUGAAGCCAAUAAAUUCACAACCCUCAUGACCCAGUGCAAGGAGGGGUCUCAAAAGGAAGGACUGAUGCUUGAUUCCUCAGAUGAGCUCUACAAAUGGUUCACUGAUCAGAUAAUGAGACACCUUCACGUGGUAUUCCAUAUAUAAACCCUUCCUCUGAGGGUCUUAAAGACAAAGCUGCUACCUCUCCUGCUUUAUUCAAUUGUUGUGUGUUGAACUGGUUCAGUGAUUGGUCCACUGAUGCUCUGUAUCAAGUUGGAUAUGAGUUUACUAAUAAAGUUGAUCUUGAUAAAUCAGACGUGUUGAUAAGUCCUCCUAUACUGAUACUUUGGUACCAAAUUUACUAGCCUAUUCCCAGCCUCACAUUUGGUCUCACAAU